rnacentral:rRNA from 1 species
GAACUUAAGCAUAUCAAUAAGCGGAGGAAAAGAAACCAACAGGGAUUGCCUUAGUAACUGCGAGUGAAGCGGCAAAAGCUCAAAUUUGAAAUCUGGCGUCUUUGGCGUCCGAAUUGUAAUUUGGAGAGGCAACUUCGGAGAUGGUGCUGUCCUAAGUUCCUUGGAACAGGAUGACAUAGAGGGUGAGAUCCCCGUGCCUGGAUGGCUGUCCAUCUUCAUGUGAAUUGCCUUCGAAGAGUCGAGUUGUUUGGGAAUGCAGCUCAAAAUGGGUGGUAAAUUUCAUCUAAAGCUAAAUAUUGGCGAGAGACCGAUAGCGCACAAGUAGAGUGAUCGAAAGAUGAAAAGCACUUUGAAAAGAGAGUUAAAAAGUACGUGAAAUUGUUGAAAGGGAAGCGCUUGAGACCAGACUCGAUUCGUGGUGAUCAGCUGUGCUUCUGUACGGUGCACUUGCCAUGGAUUGGGCCAGCAUCGGUUCUGACGGUGGGAUAAAAGGUUGAGGAAUGUGUCUUCCUUCGGGGAGUGUUAUAGCCUCACUCACAAUGCCACCAGCUGGGACCGAGGACCGCGCUUCGGCUAGGAUGCUGGCGUAAUGGUCUUAAGCGACCCGUCUUGAAACACGGACCAAGGAGUCUAACAUCUAUGCGAGUGUUCGGGUGGAAAACCCUUGCGCGUAAUGAAAGUGAACGGAGGUGGGAACCCGCAAGGGUGCACCAUCGACCGAUCCCGAUGUCUUCGGAAGGAUUUGAGUAAGAGCAUAGCUGUUGGGACCCGAAA